AAGAAGGGUAAGAAGUAAAGGAGAGGGAGGAAAGGAGUUGAAAGAAUAAGAGAAUGAGGUGAAAGCUGAAGUCCCCACAGAGGGCCUAAUAUUUAAAUAUGUGAAAAGCAGGCACAGCUGGAAGGCAGAGCAUCUAGAUCUCCAGAAAUCAAGGAUUCCACAUUUACUUUGAAUCCCUGGUUUCUUCCAAAAGGGAAAUGCCACAAGACUAGGCCGUGCAACAUUUCCGCAGUGCUCCUCGCUACAAAGACAUUCCCCUAAGGCUGGUGGGCAACUCAACACUCAGCUCAGUACGUGGUCAGCUCGUCCUCCAUAGGAGCCUUAUGCCUUGGUGAGGAGAUCUCUGAAGAAAUUGCUGAUGAAAGUCCAACAGGCUCUUCCAGUUUGUCUGGUCGGUCACAUUUGCUGAAACCUGGAGGAAUUGUUAGUGGAAGCUCAACAGGCCUGACUCAGUCUGACUGUCCAUUCUUCUGGAAGCUGCAGAGAAAAGAAACCUGGAAACCUUAUAUGCUGACAAAAAGGGACACAAUUGGAUAUGAUGGUUAUUUUACCAAGGUUUUGAAAUGUCGUGCUUUCAAAUAUAAACAGACUGCUUUAAGGAAUCGAAGUUGACUUAUAGAGCCAAUAAAAGCCCUGCAGGAAAGCUGGCCUCAUACUUUGUCUACACAGUCUCUGUACAGGUUUCCUGACCUGUGAGACAACAUCACUAUUGCAAAACCUAAGAUCAGUGCUGGAGAUAUUUUGCAGACCCUGCACUUGAUAGAUCAGCUGGCACCACCCAGAUGGAUAAACUGGCUCAUCUGAUCUCGUGGCCUCCACCGGGAACU
rnacentral:lncRNA from 1 species